rnacentral:tRNA from 1 species
GCACCCAUAGUAAAACGGAUAUUACAUCGGUUUCCGGAACCGAAAGUCCAGGUUCGAUUCCUGGUGGGUGUA